rnacentral:misc_RNA from 1 species
CCGAGUGAGGGCCCUCUGGGUCCAACCUCCCACCCGUGUCUAUCGUACCUUGUUGCUUCGGCGGGCCCGCCUCACGGCCGCCGGGGGGCAUCAGCCCCCGGGCCCGCGCCCGCCGAAGACACCCAUGAACUCUGUCUGAAGAUUGCAGUCUGAGUGAAAUGAUGAAUUAUUUA